GUCUCUUUGUUUUUAUUUUAUAAAGAGUCUAACCUGCCCAGUGAUAUAUAUUUUAACGGCCGCGGUACUCUGACCGUGCAAAGGUAGCAUAAUCAUUUGCCUUAUAAUUGAAGGCUUGCAUGAAUGGUUUGACGAGAAUUAGCCUGUCUCUUAUAAAUUAAAAUGAAAUUGACUUUUAAGUGUAAAGACUUAAAUCUCACUAAUAGACAAGAAGACCCUAUUGAGCUUUAAAGAUCUAUAAUAAUGUGGAAUAUAUUAGAAUAAGAUUAUAAGUUAUUAAAGUUUUUAGUUGGGGCGACUAUUGGAACAAAUAAAACUUCCGGAGUUUUGUAGUAUUUAGUAUUAAUUUAUUUAGAUUGAUCCAAAAUGUUUUGAUUAAUAGAAUAAGUUACCAUAGGGAUAACAGCAUAAUCUAUCUUAAGAGUUCUAAUCGAAAGAAAGGUUUGUGACCUCGAUGUUGGAUUAAAAUAUCCUAAGGGUGUAGAAGCUCUUAAGGGUUGGUCUGUUCGACCAUUAAAAUUUU
rnacentral:rRNA from 1 species